CCAAUAGCGUAUAUUAAAGUUGUUGCAGUUAAAAAGCUCGUAGUUGAAUUUCGGGAUUAGUACGUUGGUCGUGCCUUCGGUACGUACUGGUGUUACUGAUUCCUACCUUCUGACGAACCAUCAUGUCAUUAAUUUGGUGUGGCGGGGAAUCAGGACUGUUACUUUGAAAAAAUUAGAGUGUUUAAAGCAGGCUCGCGCUUGAAUACAUUAGCAUGGAAUAAUGAAAUAGGACGUUGACCCUAUUUUGUUGGUUUCUAGGAUUUACGUAAUGAUUAAUAGGGAUAGUUGGGGGCAUUAGUAUUCAAUUGUCAGAGGUGAAAUUCUUGGAUUUAUUGAAGACUAACUACUGCGAAAGCAUUUGCCAAGGAUGUUUUCAUUAAUCAAGAACGAAAGUUAGGGGAUCGAAGACGAUCAGAUACCGUCGUAGUCUUAACCAUAAACUAUGCCGACUAGGGAUCGGAUGAUGUUAUUUUUAAUGACUCAUUCGGCGCCUUACG
rnacentral:misc_RNA from 1 species